CGGGGUGGAGUAAUGUCUGGGAAACUGCCUGAUGGAGGGGGAUAACUGCUGGAAACGGUAGCUAAUACCGCAUAACGUCGCAAGACCAAAGAGGGGGACCUUCGGGCCUCUUGCCAUCGGAUGUGCCCAGAUGGGAUUAGCUAGUAGGUGGGGUAACGGCUCACCUGGGCGACGAUCCCUAGCUGGUCUGAGAGGAUGGCCAGCCACACUGGAACUGAGACACGGUCCAG
rnacentral:rRNA from 1 species